GGGACACGUGGUAUCCUGUCUGAAUAUGGGGGGACCAUCCUCCAAGGCUAAAUACUCCUGACUGACCGAUAGUGAACCAGUACCGUGAGGGAAAGGCGAAAAGAACCCCGGCGAGGGGAGUGAAAAAGAACCUGAAACCGUGUACGUACAAGCAGUGGGAGCACGCUUAGGCGUGUGACUGCGUACCUUUUGUAUAAUGGGUCAGCGACUUAUAUUCUGUAGCAAGGUUAACCGAAUAGGGGAGCCGAAGGGAAACCGAGUCUUAACUGGGCGUUAAGUUGCAGGGUAUAGACCCGAAACCCGGUGAUCUAGCCAUGGGCAGGUUGAAGGUUGGGUAACACUAACUGGAGGACCGAACCGACUAAUGUUGAAAAAUUAGCGGAUGACUUGUGGCUGGGGGUGAAAGGCCAAUCAAACCGGGAGAUAGCUGGUUCUCCCCGAAAGCUAUUUAGGUAGCGCCUCGUGAAUUCAUCUCCGGGGGUAGAGCACUGUUUCGGCAAGGGGGUCAUCCCGACUUACCAACCCGAUGCAAACUGCGAAUACCGGAGAAUGUUAUCACGGGAGACACACGGCGGGUGCUAACGUCCGUCGUGAAGAGGGAAACAACCCAGACCGCCAGCUAAGGUCCCAAAGUCAUGGUUAAGUGGGAAACGAUGUGGGAAGGCCCAGACAGCCAGGAUGUUGGCUUAGAAGCAGCCAUCAUUUAAAGAAAGCGUAAUAGCUCACUGGUCGAGUCGGCCUGCGCGGAAGAUGUAACGGGGCUAAACCAUGCACCGAAGCUGCGGCAGCGACGCUGAUGCGUUGUUGGGUAGGGGAGCGUUCUGUAAGCCUGCGAAGGUGUGCUGUGAGGCAUGCUGGAGGUAUCAGAAGUGCGAAUGCUGACAUAAGUAACGAUAAAGCGGGUGAAAAGCCCGCUCGCCGGAAGACCAAGGGUUCCUGUCCAACGUUAAUCGGGGCAGGGUGAGUCGACCCCUAAGGCGAGGCCGAAAGGCGUAGUCGAUGGGAAACAGGUUAAUAUUCCUGUACUUGGUGUUACUGCGAAGGGGGGACGGAGAAGGCUAUGUUGGCCGGGCGACGGUUGUCCCGGUUUAAGCGUGUAGGCUGGUUUUCCAGGCAAAUCCGGAAAAUCAAGGCUGAGGCGUGAUGACGAGGCACUACGGUGCUGAAGCAACAAAUGCCCUGCUUCCAGGAAAAGCCUCUAAGCAUCAGGUAACAUCAAAUCGUACCCCAAACCGACACAGGUGGUCAGGUAGAGAAUACCAAGGCGCUUGAGAGAACUCGGGUGAAGGAACUAGGCAAAAUGGUGCCGUAACUUCGGGAGAAGGCACGCUGAUAUGUAGGUGAGGUCCCUCGCGGAUGGAGCUGAAAUCAGUCGAAGAUACCAGCUGGCUGCAACUGUUUAUUAAAAACACAGCACUGUGCAAACACGAAAGUGGACGUAUACGGUGUGACGCCUGCCCGGUGCCGGAAGGUUAAUUGAUGGGGUUAGCGCAAGCGAAGCUCUUGAUCGAAGCCCCGGUAAACGGCGGCCGUAACUAUAACGGUCCUAAGGUAGCGAAAUUCCUUGUCGGGUAAGUUCCGACCUGCACGAAUGGCGUAAUGAUGGCCAGGCUGUCUCCACCCGAGACUCAGUGAAAUUGAACUCGCUGUGAAGAUGCAGUGUACCCGCGGCAAGACGGAAAGACCCCGUGAACCUUUACUAUAGCUUGACACUGAACAUUGAGCCUUGAUG
rnacentral:rRNA from 1 species